GAUGAAGAACGCAGCGAAAUGCGAUAAGUAAUGUGAAUUGCAGAAUUCAGUGAAUCAUCGAAUCUUUGAACGCACAUUGCGCCCGCCAGUAUUCUGGCGGGCAUGCCUGUCCGAGCGUCAUUUCAACCAUCAAGCCCCGGGCUUGUGUUGGGGACCUGCGUCCGACGCAGGCCCUGAAAACCAGUGGCGGGCUCGCUGUCCACACCGAGCGUAGUAACUAACCUCGCUAUGGAGUGGCGCGGGCGCCUGCCGUAAAACCCCCAAUUUUUACAAGGUUGACCUCGGAUCAGGUAGGAAUACCCGCUGAACUUAAGCAUAUCAAUAAGCGGAGGA
rnacentral:misc_RNA from 1 species